GGAAAAAAUGAAAGUUUGGAAAAUUUAAAAUGUGUAUAUCAAAUUCUCUUCAACAUUUUCUGUCGGAUUUACUUAAAUCAUUUCACCCAUCUCUGAGAUUUUGAGUUUUUGCAAAUCAGGUAAAGGUUGAGCGGGCUCUCCCCUUUCAGUUAUGAACAUUAUAUAGCCCAUGGUUCCUUCUAGAUUUAUAUCAACAUUCUCAACAUUAUAAGUCUUUUCCAGAAAGAUCCCACUGUUACAUGAAUCCCCGACGGAACCAUAUUCUGUGUGUGCUGUGGAGCACACUAAACAAUUCCCAUCAAGCAACUUCACUGUCACUUGUCACAUCUCACAUGUCAACAUGUUGGCAUUGAGGUGACAGACAGGAACAGAGGGAACCAAACAUCAUCCUACGAGCAAGACGGGCAAAAUUCAAACAAAAAGACAACAACGAAAUUUUGCAAAUUGUGUAAGCGAAGUGAGUGAGCGAGUGAAUGAGUCCCACAUUCAUCUGCUCACUGACACAUACAACAAUGGUCGCUCACACACAAACGACCAAGUUACCAGAAAAGACACUUGGAUAAAUGGUUGGCUGGCAGGCGGACUAGGUGAAUGGAUGAGAUGGGAUGGUUUGAAUGUGAAAGGAAAGGUAUGAAUAUUACGCCGCUUUUGGCAUUGUUUUUCUUCGCAAUUUUGAUCCUGGCAUUGUUAUUGUUGAUGGAAUUUGUGGUGGUGUUGGGGCAGCUGAUAUUGUUGGUAGUGUUUGUUGAUGGUGACGACGUCAAUGCCUGACUGCUGCCGUUCAUUUGUUUCUUCAGCUUCACAUGACACAAAAUGAAUUACUCGCGUGAACAACAAAACUGUCAGGACGCUGUCAGUUGAAGAGGCGUGUUGCAUUCAUGUUGCGUGCUUAUGUUGAAGGUGUCAGCGAAAGCAGUGUGAAUUCUCUUGCUGUAGCAUGUUACCUCCUUCUACCGUUAUUGUAUUUGGGUUUUUUCCUUACGGAAAACUCCGCUGGCACCAACACUGGCAAAGACGAACCGAUGACAGACAACAAUCGCUCUUGGGAAAAGGGUGUUGGCAGAUUUUAAGAUAACAAAUAGAGUUAAGUUUUUGAAAAGAAGUGUAGCAUACUCUUCAUUUUACUUUUUUCAAAUUUACUUGUUCUUAAGAAUUCAAAUUUAAAAUAGUUAACAUUGGAAUCCAAAUAUUUGAAAUGUCAAACACAUGAAAAAAAAAAUUUUUUCUUAAGAAUUUUUUUUUAAGCAGAACAGAAGUGUUUUAAUUAUUUCCCACAAAUUGAUGACCCACGACUUUUGGAACCACCAAGCGAUGCGUGCACUCAAAUGAAGAAACGUCUCAUUGACCAUUUCUCCAUCUCCACGGAAAAAAGGAUUCAACGCUUAUAGAAUGAAAAGCUAGUUAGAGAGAAGAAACCAAGUUCUUUGUUGCGUGAAAUGCGAAAUUUAGAAAAUGGUGGAGUAAAGGAUGUCAUUUGAAGAAUAAUGUGGCUUCAGAGAUUUCCCUCACAAAUACAGGCAAUGCUGGCAAUAUCGUCGGAAACUUAGACAAUAUAGUAGUUAUAACUGACAAAGUUGGGGACAUUUCUGGUGGUCAAUCCAAUCUAUCAUCUGUUCAAGGUUCUUCAGAAAGCAAUGAAUUACGUCAACAAAUUUCUGCAUUUACUAACGCUGUUCACCAAUCGCAAUUCGGGAAAACUCAUAAGUCUCGCUCAUUUUCUAAGAGAGGACAACAAUUAUCCCGUAGUACAUCACAAAAGGUAUAUUAUUACAUGGAAAGUUCGAUAAGAAUGCUCGGUGCUGUCAUCACUAUAUUUUUUCAAACCUGAUUUUAGACUUUCUUAGUUUAUAGAGACCAAUAGUCAUAUGCUAUAUGCUGCGCGACAGAUUAUACAUAUUCACACAGACAAAA
rnacentral:sRNA from 1 species